AAAUCCCUACGGGGCGCAGCAGUAGGGAAUUUUCGUCAAUGGGCGCAAGCCUGAACGAGCAAUGCCGCGUGAACGAGGAAGGUCUUCGGAUCGUAAAGUUCUGUUGAAGGGGAAAAAGAGCGGAGAGAGGAAAUGAACUCCGAUUGAUAUUACCCUUCGAGGAAGUCACGGCUAACUACGUGCCAGCAGCCGCGGUAAUACGUAGGUGGCGAGCGUUAUCCGGAAUGAUUGGGCGUAAAGGGUGCGUAGGCGGCCUGCUAAGUCUGGAGUGAAAGGUACGGGCUCAACCGUUACAGGCUCUGGAA
rnacentral:rRNA from 1 species